GUGGGGAAUUUUGGACAAUGGGCGCAAGCCUGAUCCAGCAAUGCCGCGUGCAGGAAGAAGGCCUUCGGGUUGUAAACUGCUUUUGUACGGAACGAAACGGUCCUGGUUAAUACCUGGGGCUAAUGACGGUACCGUAAGAAUAAGCACCGGCUAACUACGUGCCAGCAGCCGCGGUAAUACGUAGGGUGCGAGCGUUAAUCGGAAUUACUGGGCGUAAAGCGUGCGCAGGCGGUGCUGUAAGACAGGCGUGAAAUCCCCGGGCUCAACCUGGGAAUUGCGCUUGUGACUGCAAAGCUGGAGUGCGGCAGAGGGGGAUGGAAUUCCGCGUGUAGCAGUGAAAUGCGUAGAUAUGCGGAGGAACACCGAUGGCGAAGGCAAUCCCCUGGGCCUGCACUGACGCUCAUGCACGAAAGCGUGGGGAGCAAACAGGAUUAGAAACCCGAGUAGUCC
rnacentral:rRNA from 1 species